AUACGGAACCCAUUCCUUAUCUGUAGGCUAACGCCACUUAAACUUUUGUAUAAUCUGACUAAAGUUUUAGAGGAGAAUGACUCUCCUUUAUGAUAUAUUUAAAAAAUAGUUUCUGAUGUUCUGGCCAUAUUGUUUUGUUUUUUAUUGCUUUCAGAGAGGAAGGGAGAAGGAAAGGAAAAAACAUCAAUGAUGAGAGGAGUCAUUGAUCGGUUGUCUGAAACCACGGCAAGUGCCCUUGAUCGGAAUCAAACCAGAGAUCCUUCAGGCUGCAAGCCUAUGCUCUAUCCACUGAGCCAAACCAGCUAGGGCUGGCCAUAUUGUUUUGAACUACAUUUUUUGCUUGGUACUUUUGUUCUGUUGGAAGAUUUGGCAAGUUCUCUAUCUUCCCCCCUCCCUCCUUUAGAUUGACUUCAGCACCCACCUAACUGUCUUUUCCCUGUGCUAUGAUGAUGGUUCUUUCUGACUGAUACCAUUAAAGGUCAGAGGGGUAGGGCACAAGGACCUAGAGGCCCAUCUAGUUACCAUUUAGUGAAAACUAUUCAUGCUAGGCAUUUGUUAAUAUAAUCUUAAUAGGAUCCUCAUUACCUUGUAAACUAAGUAAAACUGAGGCCCAAAGAUAUUUGUGUAAUAAGCUGUAGGUCACACAGGACAGAACAUGAACCCAAAUCUGUCUGAUUCUAAAACCUUUGCUCAUUCAUAACCACCUUCCUUUCUGUUCCCAUAUUCAACCCAUAU